AUGAGAAAAACUGAGGUCAGAAAAACUGAUAGACCAUUUUAGAGGUGCAAGUAUCCUGAUGUUCAGGGGUUGUUUUGAAAGGCAGAAUGUCCAACAAGAGUCCAGUACCUCUUGAAACACUGUUCAGAAGUUGCAACAGAGUUACGAAUAAUAGUGAGUUCAAAUUUGCUUUACUACAAUAUUUGAAAAGCAGAGAUGAUCGUUUUCAAGCUAAUAAUAUAUUACUAUUACAUAGCAUUCCCUUACCAUUUCAUUUCCCUGUUCCUGUCUAUGGGAAUAUUCACGGAGCCUUCAUUAUGUAGGAACACUGAGCAUAGGCCAGGCAUUCCAGAUGGCAUAGCUACAAGCUGCAGAGAGCCACCCGAUCCACACCAGACUGCAAUGUGAGUGAGGAAAAAAAAAUUUUAUUGUGAAAAGCCAUUGAUAUUUGAGAUAUUUUAAUUAAUAUUUCAUUGCAUACCUAUGCUACUUGCACCCACACUUUUGGAAAUUAAAAUCUAAAACCUAAAGUCUCUAAAACAAUAGAGUGUGUGUGUGUGUGUGUGUGUGUGUGUGUGUGUGUGUGUUGUUUAGGAUAUGCAAAUGUGUCUUCACAUUCUGCACGAAUUACAAUUUGAAAAUCUUUACAAUUGUUUAUAUGUUUGGAGGUCCUAUCAAUGUCUACACAAAUUUUAUUAAGGUAUUCUAGUAUCUUAGCACUCCUAUUCUCAAAACCAUCAUGAACAUGAAAUAUUAAAUAUAAGCUUAUACUGUGUUGCCCUUUCACUUGCUCCCUGUUCUGUGCAUUCAGUUAGUACAGGUAAAACUUCCUGCUGCCCCACUUUCAAAUUUCUUCAGGCUUUCCCAGAAACAAUUAUGCAAAAUUCUGGCUUGCGAUUUGUUUUCUUAAAAUUUUUCAAGGUAAAUAUUGUAAUCCUUCCCCGUUCUUAGGGAAGUGAAAUUUGUUUGGAAGCUUUCUACUUAAUAACCUGUUCAAAGGCUCCUAAUGACCAAUCCAAUUUUCUGUCAUCCAAGAUGAGCAAAUACCAGGCCCCGUUCUGGCUCCUCCAAUAACUUUUCUUCUCUUAGCAGUGUGAUUUUCUCAUACAGUGCUUAUUUCAACUAGAAUUUCAAUACUUCCAUGACUGUCAUAUAGUUCUUUUAUUAGUUUUCUAGGACUGCUGUAACAAAGGACCACAAAGGGGUGCUUAGGUGGCUCAGUCAGCUGAGUGUCCGACUUCGGCUCAGGUCAUGAUCUCACCGCUCAUGGGUUGGAGCCCUGCAUCUGGCUCUGUGCUGACAGCUCAGAGACUGGAGCCUGCUUCGGAUUCUGUGUCUCCCUCUCUCUCUGCCCCUCCCCCACUCAUGCUCUCUGUCUCUGUCUCUCUCUCUCUCUCUCACUCAAAAAUAAAUAAACAUUAGGGGCGCCUGGGUGGCGCA
rnacentral:lncRNA from 1 species